GUGAAGGUCGCCGCGGGCCCUGGGCGCUCCCGGCGGGGGGAGGGGGCGGCGGCGGCGGCGGGUCCGCGAGCUCGGGCUCCUUCCAGCCGCUGGCCCCCCGGGCGCGCCCAGCACCGCGACCCUGACCCUGCGCGACCCGUCCCCCGACCGCGACCCCUUGGCCCCGUGUGCUGACCCCGAGGUCACGUCGCGGCCCCGGGCUCCUCUGGAAGACCCCAAGGUCAGCUCGAAGACCGCAAGGAGACCCCACAUGACGGGCACCUCCCGGCCCAAGUGCAAGACUACAAGCAGCCUCACGGUGCACAAAACAGGACACGCGGAUGGCCGGCUCGUUUACGCUCCCCAAGGCCGCAGGGAGGCCCCCCCAGAACUGCUUCGCCAGAUGCCAGGAGCUCAGGACGCGGAAAUGAGAGCCGUGGUUCCGGGACUGGGACCUCGAGGGCCUGCGACGGGGCCGCGGGGUGGCUGGAUGCAUCCUGCUGCACGGCCUGACGGGCCAUGGCGGCUGUGACCGCCUCGGACACGGCCCCGGGGACACGGAGCGCCGAGGCCAGCAGUCGGGAGGUGCACAGCCUGCGUCCUCAGAGGGACCACUUGGGGCGCGUCCAGGAGCCUCCGGGGCCCCAGAGCGCAGACGCCAGUCACCGGCUUUAUGGGGCCAGGACACGGGGCUCCGGUGAGAGGUUCCCAGAGCUCCCGGCACGCUCCCCGCGGACCAAGCCGGGUCACCUGGCUCUCCGCCAAGCCACCUCGUCCUGUCUUUCCUUUCUGGGUGCGCAUGUGCAGGAAGGCCCCGGCCCGGGCCCCGUCUCACCUGGCUUGCAGCGGCCUGACAGCCGGCCCAGCAGCGCGUGCACCUGGUCGUCCGGCCAGUCGUGCAGGAUUCUGGAGAGCACGUACAGCUCUGCCUCCGGGAGGCUGUCCUUGAAAAAGUCACCUGGGAACAAAAUAAAGAAAUAAGAAAAUAAAAAAAAUAAUAAUAAUAAUAAAAAGAAAUAAGAAAAUACAUAAAAAAUAAGGAAAUUAAAAGAAUACUAAGUAAAAUAAAAUUUAUAAAAUGAGAAAAAAAGAAAAACUCAGGAGAAAAUAAAUGAAUAAUAAGAAAUAAAUAAAAUGAAAUUAAAAAAAAGAAAAGAAAAAGGAAAACUCACAUGGAAAAAAGAAUUAUUAAUUAAUUAAAUGAAGUAAAAAAAAAAAAAAAUCACCUGGUGUGGAAACAAGGUGCCAUGAGCCCGUCAGGGACGCGGGAGCUACGUGUCCACCCGACAGACACAUGACGGGGGGGGGGAGUCGGCCGCUCCCCAGAACUGCUGGCAGCAGGGACAACUGUGUCCUGAUCCCAAAACAUGCCAGAAGUCCGAACCCUGGGCCGUCAGCACGCGUGCCCUUGGGCCGGGUCGCGGCGCCCACGGGAUUCAGGACCGCAAGGGUUUCUUUUCAAGCUGCUCCCACGUUUGCAUCCACCCCCUGCCCCGGCCCUGGAAGUUCUCCCUCGCGUCUAACUCAAGGCUUUCCUGCUCCAGCUUGUGUGGCCGUGGUGGGUGCAGACACCUGCAGACGCCCACCUCUGCCGAUCCACGUCCCCACGUGCCCGCCCAGCACUGCUGCUUCCAGGGCCGCUGACACGGCCGCUCACGCUCACGUUAUAUGACGUGGAGAUGCACACAACUGUGCACGCACACACGGAAACUCAUGUGCAUGCACACACGCAUGCAGACCACACGCAGGCGCACACACACUGCAUGCACAUCACACACACACGUAGCUGCACACACGCGCAUAGACAAAUACACGGAUGAUGCACACAUGCAUGAACAUGCAGAGACAAAUACAUGCAUAGAUACGUUUAAAUGCACAUACACACACGCAACACACACUCAGACAACACAUGUAUCACAUGCACACACAGGGACACCGACACAGAGAUAUGUAUACAGGCACGUGCAUGCAGACAGGCAACACACGGGCAUGCACACGCACAGACACACACGUGCAGGCACAUGCACACAGAGACUGAGACUUAAAGACAUCAGACAUAGAGAUAUGCACAGAUGCAAACACACACACUGCAUGCACACACAAACACACGUGUGUACAUGCACACACAAACACAUGCAGAACAGACUUACGUUUGCACGCACAGACAACGCACACAUGCACGUACAUGCAAAGACAACAAAUGCAUGCAUGCACACACAGACGUUUGCGUUUACACAGACACACACGUACACACACACUCAAACACACGUGUCAUAAGCACACACAGGCACACUGACACAGAGACAUGUACACAGGCACAGAUGUGCAUGCAUACAGGCAACAUGCAUACAUGCACACGUGCAGACACACAAGCGUGCAUGCACAUGUGCACAGAGACUGAGACAAAGACAUCACGCACAGAGAUAUGCACAGAUGCAAGCACACACACAGGCACAACUACAUGCCCACACAAAGAAGACACACGUGUGUACAUGCACACACAAACACAUGCAGACAAACAGACAUACAUUUGCAUGUACACAGACAACACACACAUGCACAUACAUGCAGAAACAACAAAUGCAUGCAUGCACACACGCAAAGACGAUUGCAUUUACACAUACAACACACACGUAUCAUAAGCACGCACAGGCACACCGCACAGACGUGCCCAGGCACACAUGUGCAUGCAUAGGCACACGCACGCACACGCCCAGACACACACAGAGCCAUCCCCCACACAGGUAACCGCAUGUGCACACACACAAAUACACCCAUGUUCACAUUCCCAGAAGACACGCACACCCACACCCUGCACGCACACCCCGUAGAAGCCCAUACGGUCGGCCGAACGUCGACGCUUGGCAAACACAAAGCAGCGCGCACCUGGCACGAAGCUGAUCUGCUCCGAGGGCCGCCCUCCGGGCUGGAAGCACGCGACGUGCUCGAGGACGUCCGGGAGGUCGAACACCGUCACCCUCAUGCGCGGGUACUCGUGGGCCAGCUCGUGGGCCAGCGCGCCCGUGCAGCCUGCGGGGACGCACACCUGCUCCGUGACCCGCCCGUGCCCCCUGGCCGGCCGCCCCGGUUCCACCUUGGCUAAACCAAAGUGAUGCCUGAGCACGCACACUGCGGCCGGAAGGCAGCUGCUGGCAGAGAUCUCUGCUGUCUCACACAGGCCGCGGGGCCUCUCGGGGUCAGGACCUGGCUAGGCACGGCAAGACCGGUGCUGGCCCAGCGCAGGAAAAUUCAUUAUUUCGAGGCCUGACACAGCACAACCACCUGAUCACGACAGCUCCUGCCGUGCCAAGGCCGUCAGAGGGAGGCGGCCGGUGGGGUGUGAGGGGUGUGGGAGGGAGCAACCCCCGCAGCCACUGAUGUGGCGACCCCUGCGGAGCCCAAGCACGGGAAAGGCCACCCCCCUGCAGCCUCUCAGGGGCCCAGAGCCCUCGGGCAGCCGGAAGGUUGGCCGAGCGGGGCCGCGGGAGAAGGCCGGAGAGAAGAGGAGACCGCCGGGUGGGCGUGCCGCCGUGGCCGCGAUCGUGAGGACGGCCAGGUGCGCGUGUGCCUGAGACGCUGUGCCGGCAGGCCUGUGAGCACGCAGGAAGGACGAGGAGGCCACAGGCACUGGCACCCGCGGGCUCCCGCGAGCACCAGUGGCCUGCAGGCGCUCACCCCACCUGGGGCACCCUGUGGCUGGGAUCCCGAGGCCACGGCACGGUGAGGACACAGAUCCCUGCACACAGCUGGUGACCUGGCGCCAGACCCCCCCCACCUGCCACCUGGCCAGAGGGAAUGCGCUGGGCGUCCCGAGGCUGCUGCAACGGCCAGCCUUCUGGCCUCGUCUCCCUGGGCCACAGUAGAGGCCUCUCAGGGGUGCACCGUGUCCCCGUGCUGCGGUCAUCAGACCCUGUGCACCUUCAAAUACCCAUAGACACCUCGCCCCCAAGAGAUAUGCCCAAGUCCUGACCCCUAGAACCCGAGAUGGGAGUCGAAUGUGGAAACAGGGUGUUUGCAGAUGGGAGGACGUGAAGGCUCUGACACGAGGUGGCCCUACGUCCAAUGACCGGGGUCCUCGUAAGAGACAGAAGAGGAGCUGCAGAUGCGGAGGAGGAGCCCCGUGAGGACGGAGGCGGAGACGGGAGGGACGCGGCCACCAGCCUGGGGACACCUGGGGCCCAGAUGCCGGAAAAGGUGGGAGGGCCCCUCCCUGGAGCCCCAGCCCUGGACCUCGGUGGUCCUGCCCCCCUGGAGCUCAGAGUGUGGUCUCCAGAGCCGGGGAGGAUGAAUUCCUGUGGUGUUAAGCCCCCCGAAUCUGCGGUCAUCGCUGACGGCAGCCCCAGGACGCUCAGACCAGUACCUUCGACGCUUUAAAGCCAUCUAUGAGUCCUAGAAGGUCCGCUGGGAACGGGGGCGGGCUCUCCACCGCGCCGUUGGCCUCGGCUCCCCGCGUGCCCGCAGCAGCCUGUCCUCCGGGGCCGCCUUCGAUGCCCCCCGCAGGGGUCCGAGCCGCCACCCUCCACGUCGCUCAGGUCCUCGAAGGUGUCGACGGCCGGGAUGGAGUCGUGCUUGACGCGCCGCACGUCGUGGCGGCCGGGCGGGUAGUAGAGCUCCACCAGCUUCUUGCAGAAGUGGUUCAGGGGGAAGCCGACCACGUUGAGGAAGUCUCCGUGGACGUACUCCACCAGCAUGCCGCCCAACGCCUGGAUCCCGUAGCCCCCCGCCUUGUCCCUGAGCGCGGGGAGCGACCGGGUGGGGGGCAGACGGCGGGACCGUUACGGGACCAACCAGAGUCCUGGGGGUCGCACGAUCGCUUCCCUGUGGCCCUCCGAUCCCACAGCCUGGGGCAGGGAGCCCAGCGACCACCCCGGGGCCCUUCGGGGACCAGUCUGGCUCUGCGCAAACUGCUAAGCGACCCUUGAGUCCUCAGCACGGGCAGUGGCCAGGUGUCACUGGCUGGCGGUCUCCGGGCUCCCUGCCUCCUACAUGCACCCUGGGGCAUGGCCCUGAGGACCCCGAUCAGCGCCUGUGCCUCUGCCGAGACCUCCUUAAGGAUGGAGGAAGGGCCGUGCAAGAGCCGCUCCUUCCUGGGCGCUGACACCUGCCUCCCCGGUGCCGCCGCGAGGGAUGCAGGGGCGCCCUCCCCUGUCCCACCCGGCGCGUGCACGCAGGCCUGAGCCUUGGUCACAUCAACCACAGCACACGGCGGCUCCUCUGGGGCAGGUGUCCCCACGCCGCUGAGGCUUGUGAGUACACGUCCCACCACCCCCAGAGGCGUCACGGUGACAGCGACCCCCGCACGGCAGUGUUGCCGGGAAGCAGGUGCAUCGCGAGGGCCGGAGGCACGCGUCCCCGUCGGGGGCACUCACAUGGGCUCGCCGCUGUCGAUGUACUCCCACAGCAGCUCCUCCGACAGCCGGGAGAACCUGACCGUGGUCUCCUCGUGGAACUGACACACGUCCGUGUCCAGCUGGCCGCCUGCAGCACGGGCCGAGGACGCCCUGGACGUGACGGGUCGGACCCCGCGGGGGCGCCUCCCUGCCACCCGCCAUCAGCCCGUGUCUGUCUGUCCGUGCGUUGCUGCUGCGGCUGCUGUGUGAGGGGCCCGCCCACGGGACACGGCGGGGACAGGUGCGGAGGGACAGGUGUGACCCUCCCCGAGACCACAGCUGAGGUCCCCAUCCCACCCUGGACAUAGGCCGCUCCCCAGGGGGCUGACC